CCGCCUGGGGAGUACGAUCGCAAGAUUAAAACUCAAAGGAAUUGACGGGGCCCCGCACAAGCAACGGAGCAUGCGGCUUAAUUCGACGCAACGCGAAGAACCUUACCAAGGCUUGACAUAUACAGGAAUAUGGCAGAGAUGUCAUAGCCGCAAGGUCUGUAUACAGGUGGUGCAUGGUUGUCGUCAGCUCGUGUCGUGAGAUGUUGGGUUAAGUCCCGCAACGAGCGCAACCCUCGUUCUGUGUUGCCAGCAUUUAGUUGGGGACUCACAGGAGACUGCCGGGGUUAACUCGGAGGAAGGUGGGGAUGACGUCAAAUCAUCAUGCCCCUUAUGUCUUGGGCUGCACGCAUGCUACAAUGGCUGGUACAAACGGCUGCAAUACCGCAAGGUGGAGCGAAUCCGAGAAAGCCAGUCUCAGUUCGGAUUGGGGUCUGCAACUCGACCCCAUGAAGUCGGAGUUGCUAGUAAUCGUAGAUCAGCAACGCUACGGUGAAUACGUUCCCGGGGCUUGUACACACCGCCCGUCACGUCACGAAAGUCG
rnacentral:rRNA from 1 species